AUACUUACCUGGCAGCGGAGAUACCAUGAUCACGAAGGUGGUUUUCCCAGGGCGAGGCUUAUCCAUUGCACUCCGGAUGUGCUGACCCCUGCCAUUUCCCCAAAUGUGGGAAACUCGACUGCAUAAUUUGUGGUAGUGGGGGACUGCGUUCGCGCUCUCCCCUG
rnacentral:snRNA from 1 species